GACAGAGGGUGCAAGCGUUGUUCGGAAUUAUUGGGCGUAAAGGGCGCGUAGGUGGCCGUGUAAGUCGGAUGUGAAAGCCCAGGGCUUAACCCUGGAAGUGCAUCCGAUACUGCAUGGCUUGAGUCCCGGAGAGGGUGGCGGAAUUCCCAGUGUAGAGGUGAAAUUCGUAGAUAUUGGGAGGAACACCAGUGGCGAAGGCGGCCACCUGGACGAGGACUGACACUGAGGCGCGAAAGCGUGGGGAGCAAACAGG
rnacentral:rRNA from 1 species